AACGAACGCUGGCGGCAUGCCUAACACAUGCAAGUCGAACGAGACCUUCGGGUCUAGUGGCGCACGGGUGCGUAACGCGUGGGAACCUGCCCUUAGGUUCGGAAUAACUCCCCGAAAGGGGUGCUAAUACCGGGUAAUGUCUGCGGACCAAAGAUUUAUCGCCUUUGGAUGGGCCCGCGUUGGAUUAGCUAGUUGGUAGGGUAAAAGCCUACCAAGGCGACGAUACAUAGCUGGUCUGAGAGGAUGAUCAGCCACACUGGGACUGAGACACGGCCCAGAAUCCUACGGGAGGCAGGAGUGGGGAAUAUUGGACAAUGGGCUAAAGGCUGAUCCAGCACUGCCGCGUGAGUGAUGAAGGCCUUAGGGUUGUAAAGCUCUUUUACCCGGGAUGAUAAUGACAGUACCGGGAGAAUAAGCACCGGCUAACUCCGUG
rnacentral:rRNA from 1 species